rnacentral:tRNA from 1 species
UGGGAUGUAGCCAAGUGGUAAGGCAUAGGAUUGCAAUGCAAAUCCUAAUAUCGAGGGUUCGAAUCCCUUCAUCUCAU